AUGCUCUGGCCCGACAUCGCUUCGAAGAGGUCUGAACGGUUGAUGGAAAACUUCCGGGAGGGUAACCUCACGCCACUCAAGAUUGGAUGGAGACUGAUUCAGAAUCCGGAGAGUCUAUGUGCCCGUGUGCUUAAGUCUAAAUAUUACCCAAAUGGCAGCCUCUUGAACACCGUCUUCGCUUCUGAUGCAUCGCCGGUGUGGCGAGGUAUUGAGGCGGGGCUGGAGCUGCUGAAAAAAAGGAAUCAUAUGGAGAGUGGGGAAUGGAAGAGACAUUCAGAUCCAUCGGGAUCAGUGGCUCCCUAG
rnacentral:rRNA from 1 species